UGAUAUCAGUUCCCUCAGGUUUUUGUAAUGAAGAUCUGCUUAGGUGAAUUGGAAUUGGAGGUUCAAUGCAGGUCCCCCAGGGAUCAGCUCCUCUUAAAUGCAUUAGCUGGAGGAUGAAGGCAAAAAGGCUCUUUAGCACUGUUCAUCUGCUAUGGUGUAAUAACUGUUCCACCAUGGCUCUUAAGGAUGAAUUCAGUGUGCAUGACUAGAGUCACUGUUGCAUAAUUGCUCUGCUUCUAAUUGUCAGUUGACAAUAUUGACU
rnacentral:misc_RNA from 1 species